UAACUCUGGACUGGCUUUCGAUACGGGCAGACUAGAGGUAUGCAGGGGAGAACGGAAUUCCUGGUGUACCGGUGAAAUGCGCAUAUAUCAGGAGGAACACCGGUGGCGAAGGCGGUUCUCUGGGCAUUACCUGACGCUGAGGAGCGAAAGUGUGGGGAGCGAACAGGAUUAGAUACCCUGGUAGUCCACACCGUAAACGUUGGGCGCUAGGUGUGGGGCCUAUUCCAUGGGUUCCGUGCCGCAGCUAACGCAUUAAGCGCCCCGCCUGGGGAGUACGGCCGCAAGGCUAAAACUCAAAGGAAUUGACGGGGGCCCGCNCAAGCGGCGGAGCAUGCGGAUUAAUUCAAUGCAACGCGAAGAACCUUACCUGGGUUUGACAUACACCGGAAAGCUGCAGAGAUGUGGCCCCUUUUAGUCGGUGUAC
rnacentral:rRNA from 1 species